CCUACGGGCGGCAGCAGUGGGGAAUAUUGGGCAAUGGGCGCAAGCCUGACCCAGCAACGCCGCGUGAAGGACGAAGGUGCCAAGCAUUGUAAACUUCUUUUGUCAAGGGACAAAAUCAGGCUCGAGAGCCUGACCGAGGGUACUUGAAGAAAAAGCAUCGGCUAACUCCGUGCCAGCAGCCGCGGUAAUACGGAGGAUGCGAGCGUUAUCCGGAUUUAUUGGGUUUAAAGGGUGCGUAGGCGGACUGUUAAGUCAGCGGUAAAAGCCCGGGGCUCAACCCCGGCGAGCCGUUGAAACUGGCUGUCGUGAGAUGUCAAGAGGUAUGCGGAAUGCGCAGUGUAGCGGUGAAAUGCUUAGAUAUUGCGCAGAACUCCGAUUGCGAAGGCAGCAUACCGGCGGCGAUCUGACGCUGAGGCACGAAAGCGUGGGUAUCGAACAGGAUUAGAUACCCGGGUAGUC
rnacentral:rRNA from 1 species